UACAGGGGGUGCAAACGUUGCUCGGAAUCAUUGGGCGUAAAGCGCGUGUAGGCGGUUCGGUAAGUCCGCUGUGAAAGUCGGGGGCUCAACCCUCGAAUGCCGGUGGAUACUGUCGGGCUAGAGUGCGGAAGAGGCGAGUGGAAUUCCUGGUGUAGCGGUGAAGUGCGCAGAUAUCAGGAGGAACACCAAUUGCGAAGGCAGCUCGCUGGGACGCUACUGACGCUGAGACGCGAAAGCGUGGGGAGCAAACAGG
rnacentral:rRNA from 1 species